CAUGAUCAGAAAACCAGGCGAAUCAAAGGAUUUGCUAAUAUUUCUUAUAUGAUGUAAUGUUAGCAAUUUGGAAAUUCUGGGUUUGGUCUCCAUUACCAUGUCCAAGAUUUAAUCAACUAAAGGAGUGGCUAAACUUAUUGUGAGCUGGUAGCAUUUCCUAUCCAUAGACACCUGAUAUUAACGCAAGAGACUAGAGACCACCUUUUUUGCACCUACCCAAUCGUUCACCUGAGUGAAAUGAAAGUGUUGAACAUGCCAGUGAUAUGGCAUUUUGCAAGGCCAGACAUUACCAUGAAUCCUGAAAACCUGAAAUCUCUCCAGGAAAAUGGGCUGAAGCCUUCGAGAAGUUUGGAGAAAGCCCUCUAUCUGAGUGUCCUUCCAAGAUGUACUCCAUCUAUUUGGGAGUUUCCAGCGCUGUCUAGGAAAUCUCAGAGUACCAUAUGUGGAAGUAAAGCCUCUUCUACAUUUCUCAGCAUGGUCCUCCUGGUGCUGGAUCCCUUGAAUGGAGUCUGGAGGGCUCCUGAAAGCAUUGUUGUUUCCCAGUAA
rnacentral:lncRNA from 1 species